UUGCAAUGCUGACUUAGGACACCUUUGGAUUGGCCACGAAAAUAAAUGUAAGAUCAAAUAUGAGCAAC